CCUACGGGGGGCAGCAGUGAGGAAUAUUGGUCAAUGGGCGAGAGCCUGAACCAGCCAAGUCGCGUGAAGGAUGAAGGAUCUAUGGUUUGUAAACUUCUUUUAUAUGGGAAUAAAGUGAGGAACGUGUUCCUUUUUGUAUGUACCAUAUGAAUAAGCAUCGGCUAACUCCGUGCCAGCAGCCGCGGUAAUACGGAGGAUGCGAGCGUUAUCCGGAUUUAUUGGGUUUAAAGGGUGCGUAGGUGGUUAAUUAAGUCAGCGGUGAAAGUUUGUGGCUCAACCAUAAAAUUGCCGUUGAAACUGGUUGA
rnacentral:rRNA from 1 species